GACGAACGCUGGCGGCGUGCUUAACACAUGCAAGUCGAACGGAAAGGCCCUGCUCUUGUGGGGUUCUCGAGUGGCGAACGGGUGAGUAACACGCGAGUAACCUGCCCUUGACUUUGGGAUAACUUCAGGAAACUGGGGCUAAUACCGGAUAGGAGCUCCUGCUGCAUGGUGUUGGUUGGAAAGUUUUGGCGGUUGGGGCUGGACUCGCGGCUUAUCAGCUUGUUGGGCGGGUAGUUGCUUUCCAAGGCUUUGAGGGGUAGCCGGCCUGAGAGGGGUGACGGCGACCAGAGGACUAAGGUACGGCCCAGACUCCUACGGGAGGCAGCAGUGGGGAAUAUUGCACAAUGGGCGGAAGCCUGAUGCAGCAACGCCGCGUGCGGGAUGACGGCCUUCGGGUGGUAAACCGCUUUCGACGGUGACGAAGCGUGAGUGACGGUAAUGGGUAAAGAAGCACCGGCUAACUACGUG
rnacentral:rRNA from 1 species